CAGUCGCCACGGUAACACGUAGGGUGCAAGCGUUAAUCGGAAUUACUGGGCGUAAAGCGUGCGCAGGCGGUUAUAUAAGACAGAUGUGAAAUCCCCGGGCUCAACCUGGGAACUGCAUUUGUGACUGUAUAGCUAGAGUACGGCAGAGGGGGAUGGAAUUCCGCGUGUAGCAGUGAAAUGCGUAGAUAUGCGGAGGAACACCGAUGGCGAAGGCAAUCCCCUGGGCCUGUACUGACGCUCAUGCACGAAAGCGUGGGGAGCAAACAGGAUUAGAGACCCGGGUAGUCCCUGUCUCUUAUAA
rnacentral:rRNA from 1 species